ensembl:lncRNA
GGGGGGGUAUAUAGAGGGCAUGAGGUAGUCUUUAGGAGGUCUGUGUGUGUGUGUGCGUGUGGGGGGGGUGUAUAGAGGGCAUGAGGUAGUCUUUAGGAGGUCUGUGUGUGUGUGUGUGUGUGUUGGGGGAUAUAUAGAGGGCAUAAGGUGGUCUUUAGGAGGUCUGUGUGUGUGUGUGGGGGGGGGGGAUGUAUAGAGGGCAUGAGGUAGUCUUUAGGAGGUCUGUGUGUGUGGGGGGGGGGGGUGUAUAGAGGGCAUGAGGUAGUCUUUAGGAGGUCUGUGUGUGUGUGUGUGUGUGUGUUGGGGGAUAUAUAGAGGGCAUAAGGUGGUCUUUAGGAGGUCUGUGUGUGUGUGUGGGGGGGGGGUGUAUAGAGGGCAUAAGGUAGUCUUUAGGAGAUCUGUGUGUGUGUGUGGGGGGGGGUAUAUAGAGGGCAUGAGGUAGUCUUUAGGAGGUCUGUGUGUGUG